AUUGAACGCUGGCGGCAUGCCUUACACAUGCAAGCCGAACGGCAGCAUGGAGAGCUUGCUCUCUGAUGGCGAGUGGCGAACGGGUGAGUAAUGCAUCGGAACGUACCGUGUAAUGGGGGAUAACGUAGCGAAAGUUACGCUAAUACCGCAUACGACCUGAGGGUGAAAGCAGGGGAUCGCAAGACCUUGCGUUAUACGAGCGGCCGAUGUCAGAUUAGCUAGUUGGUGAGGUAAAGGCUCACCAAGGCGACGAUCUGUAGCGGGUCUGAGAGGAUGAUCCGCCACACUGGGACUGAGACACGGCCCAGACUCCUACGGGAGGCAGCAGUGGGGAAUUUUGGACAAUGGGGGCAACCCUGAUCCAGCCAUGCCGCGUGAGUGAAGAAGGCCUUCGGGUUGUAAAGCUCUUCCGGCCGGGAAGAAAUCGCACAGGCUAAUACUCUGUGUGGAUGACGGUACCGGCAUAAGAAGCACCGGCUAACUACGUGCCAGCCGCCGCGGUAA
rnacentral:rRNA from 1 species